UACGUAUGGAGCAAGCGUUAUCCGGAUUUACUGGGUGUAAAGGGAGCGUAGACGGUGAUGCAAGUCUGAUGUGAAAGGUGUGGGCUCAACCCGCAAACUGCAUUGGAAACUGUAUGACUGGAGUGUCGGAGAGGUAAGUGGAAUUCCUAGUGUAGCGGUGAAAUGCGUAGAUAUUAGGAGGAACACCAGCGGCGAAGGCGGCUUACUGGACGAUAACUGACGUUGAGGCUCGAAAGCGUGGGGAGCAAAC
rnacentral:rRNA from 1 species